rnacentral:misc_RNA from 1 species
GAUGAAGAACGCAGCGAAAUGCGAUAAGUAAUGCGAAUUGCAGAAUUCAGUGAAUCAUCGAAUCUUUGAACGCACAUUGCGCCCCCUGGUAUUCCGGGGGGCAUGCCUGUUCGAGCGUCAUUUCACCACUCAAGCCUCGCUUGGUAUUGGGCAUCGCGGUCCGCCGCGCGCCUCAAAUCGACCGGCUGGGUCUUCUGUCCCCUAAGCGUUGUGGAAACUAUUCGCUAAAGGGUGUUCGGGAGGCUACGCCGUAAAACAACCCCAUUUCUAAGGUUGACCUCGGAUCAGGUAGGGAUACCCGCUGAACUUAAGCAUAUCAAUAAGCGGAGGA